CCAGCAGAGAGAAGAGGGACAGGUAGAGGAGACCCUCCACCCCGUCAUAGCACACGCCCAUCAGAGCGUCCAGGUAGUCCUGUGGAGGGGUGCAUUUGUGACAGUGACAAAUUCCCCAAGGACUAGUUGGGAACAGGAUGGAACCGGUGGCAGGACCCUCACUCUGUCCCCACUGCCCCGUUACUCUAGGACCAUCAGCGGGAGGAGAGGAUCACACUGCACAACCUGACUAAUCCAAUUCACAUGAGGCUGCAUGUGAAGGGUGUAACUUACCACUGCUGUGGCAGUGCCUGCUCCCAGGGACACCCAGCUAAGGAUCAACGUCAGCACCCCAAACACCAUGAUCCUGAAGACACACAUGGACACACUUACUGUAGACAUCUUUUUCUAAAUGAAACACCAUAAAAAUGACAUAACGUUUGUAUAUUCUGUAUGUAUACU